GGAAGAGGAAGAAGAAGAAUCGACCCGUUUCCAGUAACUUCUCCGGACAUUUUGUAGCAACAUUGUUCACUUUUGAUCUCAACUCGUUUUCGUGCAAAUCGCUCCUGGAUUCCUCUAAAGAAGACCAGCGACACUUUGAAUCGGAUAUGAUUUUUUUCUUCUUUAUGUCUUAGUUUUGAACUUUCUGCUCGUUUCCUUCAAAUAAUUCUCCACCAGCUUCGGUGCUUUGCCUCAACACCACCUUCCUCUGGCCUCCACCUUCAGCUUCUUAUCGCAUUUUGUCGCACAGCUGAUUGAGAGAAACUCGUGUUUCUGUUUCUCUUCACGGAGUCGUUGCUUCUAUUCUCGUUAUCUGAUCUGAACCAACUAGUCCAGCUGGUUCCACCCAGCUCGCCUCCAUUUACCCUCCGAGAGAAGCGACCCCACCCUUUAGUUCACCUCCACCCUUUAGUUCACCUCCACCCUUUAGUUCACCUCCACCCUUCAUCCGCAACGCACAAUCCGCCAGAGAAGCGUCCUCAAGCGGAUCUGGAUUCAUAAAAACUCUCUUUUCUUUCACACUUUACUUUUGUGUUUUUUUGUUUCCUCGUGAGUCAAACCGGAGAAACAGGAAGUGAAACUUUCUUCACUUCCUGGUUUCAUCGUCCAGCUUCCAUUCUGCACAAUGAGGUCGUGCGUCGUUCUUCUCUUUGCUUCUCUGCUCACAUUAUGUGAAGCACAAGGAACCAUUGUGACUCCUGUGUUUGUGCUGAAGGGACGUGAUCUGCUCCUCAAGCUUCGUGCUGAUCCUCCUGAGGGGGUUUUAUAUGUUGACUGGAAAAUCAAUAAAACAGUCACUUUAGUAAGAUUUAUACCUGGUGGAGAACCACAUGUCGAUCUACGUUUCACUGGAAGGGUUCAGUUUGGUGAGAAUAAAUUCUCAGUGAUAUUGAAGAAUGUACAAGAGGUCGACAGUGGAGUUUAUUCUGCUGUAGCAGCAACACCUACAGGAGACAAACUACUGACUGAAUACAAGGUCACAGUUCAAGGACCAGUGUCUCCAGUUGAACUGAUCGUGGACCGAGUGGACUCCAGCAGCUCAGAGUCAUG